rnacentral:rRNA from 1 species
AGCAGCCGCGGUAAUUCCAGCUCCAAUAGCGUAUAUUAAAGUUGUUGCAGUUAAAAAGCUCGUAGUUGAAUUUCGGGGUCAGUAGGUUGGUCGUGCCUAUGGUAUGUACUGGCUUUACUGAUUCCUCCUUCUUGAAGAACUGUAAUGUCAUUAAUUUGGUGUUGCAGGGAAACAGGACUGUUACUUUGAAAAAAUUAGAGUGUUUAAAGCAAGCUAACGCUUGAAUACAUUAGCAUGGAAUAAUGAAAUAGGACGUUAAUCCUAUUUUGUUGGUUUCUAGGAUCGACGUAAUGAUUAAUAGGGAUAGUUGGGGGCAUUAGUAUUCAAUUGUCAGAGGUGAAAUUCUUGGAUUUAUUGAAGACUAACUACUGCGAAAGCAUUUGCCAAGGAUGUUUUCAUUAAUCAAGAACGAAGGUUAGGGGAUCGAAGACGAUCAGAUACCGUCGUAGUCUUAACCAUAAACUAUGCCGACUAGGGAUCGGAUGAUGUUAUUUUUAAUGACUCA